rnacentral:rRNA from 1 species
UGGGGAAUUUUGGACAAUGGGCGCAAGCCUGAUCCAGCAAUGCCGCGUGCAGGAUGAAGGCCUUCGGGUUGUAAACUGCUUUUGUACGGAACGAAACGGUUCUUUCUAAUACAGAGAGCUAAUGACGGUACCGUAAGAAUAAGCACCGGCUAACUACGUGCCAGCAGCCGCGGUAAUACGUAGGGUGCGAGCGUUAAUCGGAAUUACUGGGCGUAAAGCGUGCGCAGGCGGUUAUGUAAGACAGAUGUGAAAUCCCCGGGCUCAACCUGGGACCUGCAUUUGUGACUGCAUAGCUAGAGUACGGUAGAGGGGGAUGGAAUUCCGCGUGUAGCAGUGAAAUGCGUAGAUAUGCGGAGGAACACCGAUGGCGAAGGCAAUCCCCUGGACCUGUACUGACGCUCAUGCACGAAAGCGUGGGGAGCAAACAG